GCCCUCUCAGGGUCUACACCGCUGGGGUCUCGCCAAACAUUUUUAUCUAAGUAGUGGUUCCUGUUGCUGUGAGGGGCAAUAAGCAGGCAACAAGGGGGAUGGCCUCCCCCACGCCUGGUGGCGCGCUCCGGAGGCGGGGCCCAAGGCCGGCGCUCCUUAACCCCACGGCGCCCGGACCGAAUGGAAAGUGGCAGAGUCUCACCCGGGCCGCGUCAGGACCUGGCCGCGCUCUAAGCCAGGCCAUGGAGACCCCUCACACCGGAUUCUGAGUGGACACAGACAUAAGAAGUGACUGUGUAGUCUUAGUGACAUCUGGAUGUGUUGUGUAUGAGUUUUGAUCAGAUAAACACAAGAAUCUGGCAACAAUCAUGUUGAGACAAAUUUACAGGACACUGACCUAUGUGAAAAACAGCUGAUUCAGUGUGAUGCAGUCUGAGGACAGAGGGUGAAGAAGUACCUGGCCCAGGGCAGCUACCGUGUAACUUAUGCGUAACUCGAAUCCACAAGCCCAGACUCGCAGCACUUGGCUCCGCUGCCUCACAGCCUUUCCCUGACAGCACAAACCCACCACCGUCCCCAAACUCCAUCUCCCAACGUGCCGCGGGCCCUUGUCCUGCUACUCUGGCUCUUAGUCUCCUGGGAAAUGUAGUUUCUACAGCGAUCCAGCCCCAGAAAGGUCCCAGCCGUAAACUACAGUUCCCACGGGGCAGUGCGCCAGCCGUCCCGGUCCAAUUGCCCGCGGUCACCGUGCUUACAGCGAUGGCGGCUAGAGCCGGCCUCUGGGGCUCGGUGUAGCAGUGACUGAGACGCUGGCGUCCCCGGUGCGAAGGAGGACGGCAAGUGUGCGGGGCCGCCUCCGGCCACCCCUCAGAUCUCUGCCGCUCUGGGACGUGGAGACGCCUCAACCAAAGCGGAGCCUACAGGGGCCCCAGAGAGCCAUGGUGACGGAGCGGCGACAACCACUAGGGGGCGUGGGGCAGCGCCACCCUUAGUCCGAAGUGGAGUAACCCCGGGGCCAUCGGGCGGCCCCGGGCCGGAAGCGCACGCGCAAGUGCGCGGCCUCUAGAAACACCAAGGAGCGCCUGCGCAAGCGCAGCGUCUCGGGGUCAGCACGCGGGGGCGCCCUAGCGAAGAUAACUAAUAAAUAGUAACGUAACGGUUCAGUCA